AUGAACGCUAGCUACAGGCUUAACACAUGCAAGUCGAGGGGCAGCAUGGUCUUAGCUUGCUAAGGCCGAUGGCGACCGGCGCACGGGUGAGUAACACGUAUCCAACCUGCCGUCUACUCUUGGACAGCCUUCUGAAAGGAAGAUUAAUACAAGAUGGCAUCAUGAGUUCACAUGUUCACAUGAUUAAAGGUAUUCCGGUAGACGAUGGGGAUGCGUUCCAUUAGAUAGUAGGCGGGGUAACGGCCCACCUAGUCUUCGAUGGAUAGGGGUUCUGAGAGGAAGGUCCCCCACAUUGGAACUGAGACACGGUCCAAACUCCUACGGGAGGCAGCAGUGAGGAAUAUUGGUCAAUGGGCGAGAGCCUGAACCAGCCAAGUAGCGUGAAGGAUGACUGCCCUAUGGGUUGUAAACUUCUUUUAUAAAGGAAUAAAGUCGGGUAUGGAUACCCGUUUGCAUGUCUUUAUGAAUAAGGAUCGGCUAACUCCGUGCCAGCAGCCGCGGUAAUACGGAGGAUCCGAGCGUUAUCCGGAUUUAUUGGGUUUAAAGGGAGCGUAGAUGGAUGUUUAAGUCAGUUGUGAAAGUUUGCGGCUCAACCGUAAAAUUGCAGUUGAUACUGGAUAUCUUGAGUGCAGUUGAGGCAGGCGGAAUUCGUGGUGUAGCGGUGAAAUGCUUAGAUAUCACGAAGAACUCCGAUUGCGAAGGCAGCCUGCUAAGCUGCAACUGACAUUGAGGCUCGAAAGUGUGGGUAUCAAACAGGAUUAGAUACCCUGGUAGUCCACACGGUAAACGAUGAAUACUCGCUGUUUGCGAUAUACGGCAAGCGGCCAAGCGAAAGCGUUAAGUAUUCCACCUGGGGAGUACGCCGGCAACGGUGAAACUCAAAGGAAUUGACGGGGGCCCGCACAAGCGGUGGAGUAUGUGGUUUAAUUCGAAGCAACGCGAAGAACCUUACCAGGUCUUGACAUCCGAUGCAUAGCACAGAGAUGUGUGAAAUCCUUCGGGACAUCGAGACAGGUGGUGCAUGGUUGUCGUCAGCUCGUGUCAUGAGAUGUUGGGUUAAGUCCCGCAACGAGCGCAACCCCUGUGAUUAGUUGCCAGCGAGUAAUGUCGGGAACUCUAAUCAAACUGCCGGUGAUAAAUCGGAGGAAGGUGGGGACGACGUCAAAUCAUCAUGCCCUUUAUGUCUUGGGCUACACACGUACUACAAUGGACAUUAACAGAGGGAAGCAAUACAGCGAUGUGGAGCAAACCCCUAAAAAUGUUCUCAGUUCAGAUUGCAGGCUGCAACUCGCCUGCAUGAAGUCGGAAUUGCUAGUAAUCGCGGAUCAGCAUGCCGCGGUGAAUACGUUCCCGGGCCUUGUACACACCGCCCGUCACACCAUGAGAGUUGGGGAUACCCGAAGCCUGUGAGCCAACAGUUAAAUGAGGCAGCAGUCGAAGGUAGAAUCAAUGAUUGGGGUG
rnacentral:rRNA from 1 species